CAGGGAAUAUUGCACAAUGGACGAAAGUCUGAUGCAGCGACGCCGCGUGAAUGAAGAAGGCCUUCGGGUUGUAAAAUUCUUUUCGGGGGGAAGAGGCAGGACGGUACCCUCGGAAUAAGCGUCGGCUAACUACGUGCCAGCAGCCGCGGUAAGACGUAGGACGCAAGCGUUAUCCGGAUUUACUGGGCGUAAAGCGUCUGUAGGCGGAAAGACAAGUUGGGCGUGAAAGCUCCGGGCUCAACCCGGAGAGUGCGUUCAAUACUGUCUAUCUAGAGGAGGUCAGAGGGGAGUGGAAUUUCAGGUGUAGCGGUAAAAUGCGCAGAUAUCUGAAGGAACACCAGUGGCGAAGGCGGCUCCCUGGGGCCCACCUGACGCUGAGAGACGAAAGCUAGGGGAGCGAACAGGAUUAGAGACCCUGGUAGUCCUAGCCAUAAACGAUGGAUGCUAGGUGUGGGACCGAGAAGGUUCUGUGCCGGAGCAAACGCGAUAAGCAUCCCGCCUGGGGAGUACGACCGCAAGGUUA
rnacentral:rRNA from 1 species